rnacentral:rRNA from 1 species
GCGCAGCAGUCGCGAAACCUCCGCAAUACACAAAAGUGUGACGGGGCCAUCCCGAGUGCCGUCCGCUGAGGACGGCUUUUCCCCAGUGUACACAGCUGGGGGAAUAAGGAGAGGGCAAGCCUGGUGUCAGCCGCCGCGGUAAUACCAGCUCUCCGAGUGGUGGGGACGCUUAUUGGGCCUAAAGCAUCCGUAGCCGGCUGGGCAAGUCCUCCGUUAAAUCCAACGAUUCAAUCGUUGGGCUGCGGGGGAUACUGUCCAGCUUGGGGGCGGGAGAGGCCGACGGUAUUCCCGGGGUAGGGGUGAAAUCCUAUAAUCCCCGGGAGGACCACCAGUGGCGAAGGCUGUCGGCUAGAACGCGCCCGACGGUGAGGGAUGAAAGCUGGGGGAGCGAACCGGAUUAGAUA